rnacentral:lncRNA from 1 species
GAACUGAGACCAGGGUCCUGAAAAAGUCGUUUCCAAGAGGAGGCGAGCCCUCGCUGGGAGCCUUGAGGAGAGAAAGUUGGCAGAGCAUUUACCCUGCAUCAUUUUAUCUGAGCCUCACAACAACCCUGGGACGUGGUUUUUAGUGACCUUAAAUUCCGCAUCAAACACCUUGCUUGGGACAGACUGAGAUGGAGCAGGAAUGUUGUUACCAGGGCCUUACUACUAGGAAGAUGUGGUCAGCAACAGAAGGUAAACCCAGGAAGAUGACCUGGAAUGACUUUGUGCUGAAUGGCAAGUCUAGAGGGCUGGGAGAAUCCUGUAAGGGAGGAGCCCUCCUGUCUGAAGCUCUAAAGCUAAUCAAGCAAAGGGUUUCUGCUUUGUUUUCCUCCUACUUUUAAUACAACUUUCUGCUAAAGUGUCUUAGACUUAGAGCUUAAAGGAACCUCAAGGAUAAUUAAAUCGAAUUCCUCCUUUUUCCAGAAAAGGAAACCAAGGCUGUGAGAGUAUCCAUGACCAACCCAAGGUUGUAGAGCUCAUGGGCCAGCUUAGUUGAAGCAGCUGGGCACCUUGAUGGAGAAACAAGAAGUAGCAUGUCUCAAGUGAAUCAAUCCCCCCUUCACCUCAACCACCGUCUCUCCUCAGACCGCACUGGAGACAGAUCAGAACCUUGAGGGUUCUCCCACAGCCAUAUUGAAGAGGAGCAAUCACAGUGGUAAAAAGGCUGACCCACCCUUCUUCCAGCACUCCAGCAUCAACUGCCAACCAAUUGGUAUUGUCAAGUAGGGCCUUGGGAAUAGUAGUGCCUCCCUGACCACUCCUGCCCAAGCCCCAUAGGCAUCACUCAAGGGAGUGAGUCUUGUGAGAUGGGACCUGGCAGCAGCCACAGUCAUUGCUACUCAAGACCCAAGAAGGAAUAUUCUCACCUGCAAAAUCCUUGGCAUUGAUGAAUGGCCCACAUCUGAAAAAGAGAGAAGCUUGUCAGUAGAAGUAACAUUAAACAGGGAAUACGAUGAUCUUGUUUACCGUCGUACCCUAAGGAGGAGAGGACCUUUUCAUCAGCUGACUCCAAGCUGAAGCUUUCUAUGUGUAUUGUCUCUCCCUACUAGAAUAUGAGUAUGAGAGCAAGGAUUGUCCCACUUUCCUAUUUGUAUCCCCAGUGCUGAGUGCAAUGCUUUCCACAUAGUGUUUAAUAAAUGCCUUUUCUCCAUUCUUUUGUUCA